ACAGGUUUUCAAUAUUAACAAACUCACAUGAAAAUAAGAAAUAUCGGUCAAUUGCCCACAAUCAUUCUUUUUCAAAUUUACAUUGUUCAUCUUCAACGUGAGGCAUAUUACGUAAAGGAUGUCUUUAAACGUAUAUUCCAGACUUCCGGUGGUGGGAACGAUGUGACUUGUUUUUGUUUAGCUGUCAAAUAACAGUGAAAAUGUGUGAAAUAACAAUGUUCUAGUGUUUGAUUUGUGUCGAGCUAGGGAUAAAACAGUGUUUUUAGUGUAUAUACUGAGGAUAUGCUUGUGAAGAAAUGCUGUAUUUUGUUAAUAAAACGGAAAUUUAAAUCUCAUGUCGACAACCUAUCUAACACAACCUGGAUAUUCCACCAUAUUCACAGAUUAAUGCUUGAUAGAGGGAUUCUGACAACGCUUUACAUGUGGAUGUAAAAUACAAGCAUGAUAUAGGUUCUAUAUUUUUAUCAUUUAUAGCUGAACUGUUUUGUACGAAUAAUGUGAGUUGUAUUCUCUUAAGUUAAUGUUUUCAUUUUUUAAAGGUAUAGCGCUUACCAUAUCUGUACAUGUUUCUUAGUCAAUGACUAACCGAAUAUAUAAAAUAAGGGCCGUGCUCUGUAGAAAGGACGU